rnacentral:rRNA from 1 species
AGCGAACGCUGGCGGCAGGCCUAACACAUGCAAGUCGAACGAACUCUUCGGAGUUAGUGGCGGACGGGUGAGUAACACGUGGGAACGUGCCUUUUGGUUCGGAAUAACUCAGGGAAACUUGUGCUAAUACCGAAUGUGCCCUUCGGGGGAAAGAUUUAUCGCCAUUAGAGCGGCCCGCGUCUGAUUAGCUAGUUGGUGAGGUAGCGGCUCACCAAGGCGACGAUCAGUAGCUGGUCUGAGAGGAUGACCAGCCACACUGGGACUGAGACACGGCCCAGACUCCUACGGGAGGCAGCAGUGGGGAAUCUUGCGCAGUGGGCGAAAGCCUGACGCAGCCAUGCCGCGUGAAUGAUGAAGGUCUUAGGAUUGUAAAAUUCUUUCACCGGGGACGAUAAUGACGGUACCCGGAGAAGAAGCCCCGGCUAACUUCGUG